rnacentral:rRNA from 1 species
AUGACAGAGCAAGAGUGCUGUACACACCUGUUCGUACAUUGUCGAUACACACAACAUUUGUGGCGAUGCUUCAAACGGUUCACAGGAGAUAACUUUAUCACGCCGGAUGCAAGUCACGGUAGCACGGAAGACUGGUGGUUGAAGGCUAGGAGCAGGGUGCCCAAGCUGGUUCGCAGAAACUUUGACACGGUCAUCAUUCUCAUCCACUGAAGGCUUUGAAAGGAAAGGAAUGCUAGGAUCUUUGACCACACCGCCAGUAGCGUCGAUAGAGUUUUGGACCAGAUUAGAGAAGAUCUUCAAGUGUGGAGGGCAGCGGGGUUUGUUGUUGAUCUUGCUAUGUAA